rnacentral:misc_RNA from 1 species
CUGGAAAUAUUCAAGGUUGUAGCUGGCCUUCCGGGGCAUGUGCUCGCCUUGUUUCAAAUCCAUCUUACACCUGUGCACACUUUGUAGUCUCUUGGUUUCUGGGUUAAACUAGAGCCAGUUACUACGUAUUUACACAUACACAUAAUAUAGUUUUAGAAUGUAUACUUGUGAUAAAACACAUCUAUAA